UACGUAGGGUGCAAGCGUUGUCCGGAAUUAUUGGGCGUAAAGAGCUCGUAGGCGGUCUGUCGCGUCUGGUGUGAAAAUCCAGGGCUUAACCCUGGACCUGCAUCGGGUACGGGCAGACUAGAGUGCGGUAGGGGAGAUCGGAAUUCCUGGUGUAGCGGUGAAAUGCGCAGAUAUCAGGAGGAACACCGGUGGCGAAGGCGGAUCUCUGGGCCGUAACUGACGCUGGAGGAAGCGAAAGCUGG
rnacentral:rRNA from 1 species